rnacentral:rRNA from 2 species
UUUAAGCGAAUUGGCUGUGGAGCACAUGAAAACUUCACAGUUAAACGUGAUUAGGUGGGAGUAGUACUAAGAUGGGUGACCUCCUAGGAAGUCUACAUCGAGUUAACC